rnacentral:rRNA from 1 species
AGGGUAAUGAUUAAUAGGGAUAGUUGGGGGCAUUAAUAUUUAAUUGUCAGAGGUGAAACUCUUGGAUUUAUGAAAGAUUAACUUCUGCGAAAGCAUCUGCCAAGGAUGUUUUCAUUAAUCAAGAACGAAAGUUAGGGGAUCUAAGACGAUCAGAUACCGUCGUAGUCUUAACCAUAAACGAUGCCGACCAGCGAUUAGGAGACGUUGAAUACAAAACACCAUCCAUUUAGCACGGUCGUUUUCAAAUAUUCCUUUUUGCGAAGGUUGUUUGGGAACGAUUCGUCCUGAUGGAUCUGGUGAAUGACUCCCCUAGCAGCUUGUGAGAAAGGCCCAGAUC